rnacentral:rRNA from 1 species
GGACUACCCGGGUAUCUAAUCCCGUUCGCUCCCCUAGCUUUCGCGUUUCAGCGUCAGGUGCAGUCCAGGUGGCCGCUUUCGCCACAGGUGUUCCUCCGGAUAUCUACGCAUUUCACCACUACACCCGGAAUUCCACCACCCUCUACUGCCCUCAAGUCUGGAAGUAUCGGACAGCCUCUCCUGGUUGAGCCAGGAGAUUUCAUGCCCGACUUGCCAAACCGCCUGAACGCGCUUUACGCCCAGUAAAUCCGGAUAACGCUCGUCACCUACGUUUUACCGCGGCUGCUGGCAC